GAAUUUUGGACAAUGGGCGCAAGCCUGAUCCAGCAAUGCCGCGUGAGUGAAGAAGGCCUUCGGGUUGUAAAGCUCUUUUGUCAGGGAAGAAACGGCUGAGGCUAAUAUCCUCGGCUAAUGACGGUACCUGAAGAAUAAGCACCGGCUAACUACGUGCCAGCAGCCGCGGUAAUACGUAGGGUGCAAGCGUUAAUCGGAAUUACUGGGCGUAAAGCGUGCGCAGGCGGUUUUGUAAGUCUGACGUGAAAGCCCCGGGCUCAACCUGGGAAUUGCGUUGGAGACUGCAAGGCUUGAAUCUGGCAGAGGGGGGUAGAAUUCCACGUGUAGCAGUGAAAUGCGUAGAGAUGUGGAGGAACACCGAUGGCGAAGGCAGCCCCCUGGGUCAAGAUUGACGCUCAUGCACGAAAGCGUGGGGAGCAAACAG
rnacentral:rRNA from 1 species